GAUCAUGGCUCAGGAUGAACGCUGGCGGCGUGCUUAACACAUGCAAGUCGAGCGAAGCACUUACUUUUGAUUUCUUCGGAAUGACGAGGUCUGUGACUUAGUGGCGGACGGGUGAGUAACGCGUGGGUAACCUGCCUUACACAGGGGGAUAACAGUUAGAAAUGACUGCUAAUACCGCAUAAAACAGCAGAGUCGCAUGACUCAACUGUCAAAGAUUUAUCGGUGUAAGAUGGACCCGCGUCUGAUUAGCUUGUUGGUGGGGUAACGGCCUACCAAGGCAACGAUCAGUAGCCGGCCUGAGAGGGUGAACGGCCACAUUGGGACUGAGACACGGCCCAAACUCCUACGGGAGGCAGUAGUGGGGAAUAUUGGACAAUGGGCGAAAGCCUGAUCCAGCGACGCCGCGUGAGCGAUGAAGUAUUUCGGUAUGUAAAGCUCUAUCAGCAGGGAAGAAAACGACGGUACCUGACUAAGAAGCCCCGGCUAACUACGUG
rnacentral:rRNA from 1 species